GAUGAACGCUAGCGGCAGGCCUAAUACAUACAAGUCGAACGGUGUCUUCGGACAUAGUGGCGCACGGGUGCGUAACACGUAUGCAACCUACCUUACAUUGGGGGAUAGCCUUUCGAAAGGGAGAUUAAUACCGCAUAAGACAGUAGCUGGGCAUCCAGCAGCUGUUAAAGAUUUAUCGAUGUAAGCUGGGCAUGCGUCCAAUUAGCUAGUUGGUGAGGUAACGGCUCACCAAGGCAAUGAUUGGUAGGGGAACUGAGAGGUCAAUCCCCCACACUGGCACUGAGAUACGGGCCAGACUCCUACGGGAGGCAGCAGUAGGGAAUAUUGGGCAAUGGACGCAAGUCUGACCCAGCCAUGCCGCGUGCAGGAUGAAGGCGUUAUGCGUUGUAAACUGCUUUUAUACAGGAAGAAACGACUCUUGCGAGAGGCAUUGACGGUACUGUGUGAAUAAGCACCGGCUAACUCCGUGCCAGCCGCCGCAGUAAAAC
rnacentral:rRNA from 1 species